GUUUUUAUGUAAGUUUUAUAAAAUCUAAUCUGCUCACUGAAAAUUAAAGAGCCGCGGUACUCUAACCGUGCAAAGGUAGCAUAAUAAUUAGUUUUUUAAUUGGGAGCUUGAAUGAAUGAUUGAUCAAGAAAUAAGUUGUCUUAAUUGAAUAUAUUGAAUUUAACUUUUAAGUAAAAAGGCUUAGAUAAUUUUAAGUGACGAUAAGACCCUAUAAAAUUUUAUAAUUAAAAUUGAAGAAAUAAAUUAGUUAUUUUAUUUUUUUUUAUUUGAUUUAUUUUAUUGGGGCGAUAAAAAUAAAAGUAGUAACUGUUUAUAUUAUUUUAAUAGAAAUUAUUAGUUAGAAUUAAUGAUCCUUGAUUAAAGAUUAUGAGAUUAAAUUACUUUAGGGAUAACAGCGUAAUUUUCUUUAAGAGUUCUUAUCUACAAGAAAGAUUGCGACCUCGAUGUUGAAUUAAAAAUUCAUUAAGGUGUAGCUGUUUUAAUAGAAGGUCUGUUCGACCUUUAAAUUUUU
rnacentral:rRNA from 1 species